rnacentral:rRNA from 1 species
GUCCAGACUCCUACGGGAGGCAGCAGUGAGGAAUAUUGGUCAAUGGGCGGAAGCCUGAACCAGCCAAGUCGCGUGAGGGAUUAAGGCCCUGCGGGUCGUAAACCUCUUUUGCCGGGGAGCAGUGGUCCGGACGCGUCCGGACCGGGAGAGUACCCGGAGAAAAAGCAUCGGCUAACUCCGUGCCAGCAGCCGCGGUAAUACGGAGGAUGCGAGCGUUAUCCGGAUUUAUUGGGUUUAAAGGGAGCGUAGGCCGCAUGUUAAGCGUGCCGUGAAAUGCCGUGGCUCAACCAUGGCACUGCGGCGCGAACUGGCUUGCUUGAGUGCGCGGAACGUAUGCGGAAUUCGUGGUGUAGCGGUGAAAUGCUUAGAUAUCACGAAGAACUCCGAUUGCGAAGGCAGCAUACGGCAGCGCUACUGACGCUGAAGCUCGAAGGCGCGGGUAUCGAGCAGGAUUAGAUACCCCAGUAGG